rnacentral:rRNA from 1 species
AACGAACGCUGGCGGCAGGCUUAACACAUGCAAGUCGAACGCACCGGCCGGGGUUCGGCGGGGGGGUGGGUAAGGCAUGGGGAGAGACCCUUAUCUGUGGGAUAGCUCUGAGGUAGUGAUAUUAUCACCGAACGUGCGCUAUUGGGGGAAAAGAUAUCGGGCAAGUAUCGGGGCGCGGUGGAUUUUCGGGUGGUGGGGGUGGAGGCGCACCAAGGCGACGAUUCAUAGCUGGUCUGAGAGGAUGAUCAGCCACAUUGGGACUGAGACACGGCCCAAACUCGUACGGGAGGCAGCAGUGGGGAAUAUUGGGCAAUGGGCGCAAGCCUGACGCAGCCAUGCCGCGUGAGUGAUGAAGGCCUUAGGAUUGUAAAGUUCUUUCACCGGAGAAGAUAAUGACGGUACCCGGAGAAGAAGCCCCGGCUAACUUCGUG